GGCGAAAAUCCCCGGGCAACGCGGCGGUGAGCGCCAGUCUUAGCGGACAGGACCUUCGGGUGUGUGUCUUAACAGUCACACAUUCGGAGCAGCUAGCCAUAGCACAGUCAUGUGACCAGCGGGGAAACAACCCGCUAACUCAACGGGGUUUACUCUCGAC
rnacentral:RNase_MRP_RNA from 1 species